rnacentral:lncRNA from 1 species
CGGUCGCCAUGGUGAUGGACAUCCUGGUUGCCAUGGUGAUGGUCGCCAUGGUGACGAGGAUCCUCAUGGU